rnacentral:rRNA from 1 species
CACGUAGGGGGCGAGCGUUGUCCGGAUUUAUUGGGCGUAAAGGGCGCGUAGGCGGGAUGGCAAGUCGGUCGUGAAAUCCUUCGGCUCAACCGAAGAACGUCGGCCGAUACUGCCGUUCUUGAGGGAUGCAGAGGAGACUGGAAUUCCCGGUGUAGCGGUGAAAUGUGUAGAGAUCGGGAGGAACACCGGUGGCGAAGGCGGGUCUCUGGGCAUCUCCUGACGCUGAGGCGCGAAAGCGUGGGGAGCAAACGGG